rnacentral:rRNA from 1 species
UACGGGGGGGGCAAGCGUUGUUCGGAAUUACUGGGCGUAAAGGGCUCGUAGGUGGCCAACUAAGUCAGACGUGAAAUCCCUCGGCUUAACCGGGGAACUGCAUCUGAUACUGGAUGGCUUGAGAUUGGGAGAGGGAUGCGGAAUUCCAGGUGUAGCGGUGAAAUGCGUAGAUAUCUGGAGGAACACCGGUGGCGAAGGCGGCAUCCUGGACCAACACUGACGCUGAGGAGCGAAAGCGUGGGGAGCAAACAGG